UACGUAGGGGGCAAGCGUUGUCCGGAAUCAUUGGGCGUAAAGAGCGUGUAGGCGGUUCGGUAAGUCGGCUGUGAAAGUCCAGGGCUCAACCCUGGGAUGCCGGUCGAUACUGCCGGACUAGAGUUCGGAAGAGGCGAGUGGAAUUCCCGGUGUAGCGGUGAAAUGCGCAGAUAUCGGGAGGAACACCUACGGCGAAGGCAGCUCGCUGGGACGUUACUGACGCUGAGACGCGAAAGCGUGGGGAGCAAACAGG
rnacentral:rRNA from 1 species